GUAGAGUGUAAUCAGAUAUCAUCAUGGUAGAUAAUUAAAUUGGGUCAAGGCCCAAAGAAAAACAGCUCCAAAGGUAAAUCAGUAGGUGUAUUUUUCACAAAAAGUGCCCGGGAUCAUUCCAGAAAGAAAUGGUUGAUCUGAAAAGGAGAUCAGAAAUCUUAAAUCUGGAGAGGAAGUUACAAAGGAAUGAGAAUUCAAGGAUUGGAUACAGGCCAACACAGAGCAGAGCUUUGUACACCCAGAGAGAUGAUUCCAUGAAGGCAUAAGGCAGCCAGCUUUGAGACAAUUCCUGGUGAUCCCCUACCUCCUGCCUCCAUGUUAUGUGGCCAUUUAGUCAACCUGUGGCAAUGCCUAUGUGAUGAGGAAUGAAGGCCUCCUGCCAGCACCCAUGUGAGUGAGCCUUUCUAGAUGCAGAUUUUCCAAUCCCAGUCAAGCUUUCAGAUGACUGCAGCCCUGGCUGACAUCUUAAUGUAACCUCAUGAGAGACCUGAUGCCAGCACCACCCAGUUGGGGCCCCCUGAAUUCCUCACCCACAGAAAAGAUGAGAUGAAAAAUGAUGAGUCCAGCUCCUCAGCCCUCCCAUCCUAUGGACCUACACUGGACAUGUGGUAUGAGAGCAAAUCAAAUCUUUAUUGUUUUAAACAACACGUAUCUGGGGAUCACUUGUACCUGCGGGAUAGCCUUGUCUUGGCUAACUAAAACACUAGCCUUACUUCAUGUGAAAGUGCAAAUAAAGCCUAUCUUCAGAAAACCACUGCAGAGCACUUACAGUUCCUAGCUGUCUCAAUGAGGAACUAAUAAUAUUUGGUUUGUUGCCGGAAACUUUCACCACACCCUGGACUCCUAUGCUCAUGGAAAAGUCUGGUUAAUGAGGCCAAGACCUGUUGUCUGCCUAGUUGAGGGGUUCUCAGUGCAAUGAGACUCACUGCAGAGUUUGAUACCAUCCAGUCCCCGGUCCACCUCCACAGAGCCAGCUUCAGGAAGUCUAGAGAGGGGUGAGGAGUCUACAAUUUUAAAAGAGCACCAGGAGAUUCUGAUGCCGUUAGUCUGCAUCAACUUUGGUCUGCAUCAACUCUGGUCUGCAGUUGGGCUGAGCAACUCUAGGCAAAUACAUGGUAGAAAACCUUCUUGGGGGCAGUUGUGCUCAGUGAGGCAAAGUGGGGGCAACGCAAUGCAUGAUGAGAGCAAGGAUGCCACA